rnacentral:rRNA from 1 species
CCCCUAGAUGUUCUGGGCCGCACGCGCGCUACACUGAACAGUUCAACAAGUCUUAACCUUGGCCGAUAGGUCUGGGUAAUCUUUGAACGCUGUUCGUGAUUGGGAUAGACCUUUGCAAUUAUGGGUCUUCAACGAGGAAUUCCUAGUAAACGCAAGUCAUCAGCUUGCAUUGAUUACGUCCCUGCCCUUUGUACACACCGCCCGUCGCACCUACCGAUUGAAUGGUCCGGUGAAAUCUCGGGACGGCGGCUUGGUCGCUUGCGUCCGACUGCUGAAACUUGAUUAAACCAUAUCAAUUAGAGGAAGGUGAAGUCGUAACA